rnacentral:rRNA from 1 species
UACGUAGGGGGCAAGCGUUGUCCGGAAUCAUUGGGCGUAAAGAGCGUGUAGGCGGCUCGAUAAGUCUGCUGUGAAAGUCCAGGGCUCAACCCUGGAAGGCCGGUGGAAACUGUCGGGCUAGAGUCCGGAAGAGGCGAGUGGAAUUCCCGGUGUAGCGGUGAAAUGCGCAGAUAUCGGGAGGAACACCGGUGGCGAAGGCGACGUCCUGGACCGGCAUUGACGCUGAGGCGCGAAAGCCAGGGGAGCAAACGGG